CAUCCAAAACAGAAUACAAUAUAGCAUGGAACAAUCAAAAAUUAUAGAUACGUUGGAGACGUAUCACUGCGCGCUUGUCCCCCCGUCGCAUAGCUAUGUCCGGAGCCUUCCCCGAGCAGUCGCCGUCCCUCUGGAGCCCUUGCCCCCUCCGUCUUCUUCCCCGGUGAGCCGUCACAGUCGCCGCACCAUUCUCACCCAUGACCGCGUCGUCUUCCGCGGCCAUGUCCUCUUCCUUCUCUUGUCCCUGAGCUUUGCCUCGUCUCCGUGAGCUCUGCCGCGUGUGCCCGUCACCGGAGCGUCGACACGUAGCCGCGCGCGUGCCACCUCACCCCCUUGCCGCUCGGCUAUAUGAAGGCCACCCCGAGCACUCCAGCGCAUCCACCGCACUCCUCUCCCCCUCCCCCACCUCUAGCCCGAGCUCGAGAAGCUCUCUGGGCUCGACAUCGCCGCCAUGGCCGCCGGCCUCCUCCUCCUAAAUUGGAGCUAGCCGAGCCCUCCCUCUCCUCGUAGCCACCACCACCCGAAGCCGCUCACUCCGGCGACCCUCCCCGGCCUCUCUUCUUCUCGCCGGAAUGCCUCAGGCCACCGCCCUCAAAGAUCGGCCCCGCCGCCGGGUCCUUUGUCUCCUUGAGCCUCCGCCAUCCUGCUCCUCCCCUGUGCUGGUACUGCACCUGGACGGGCGCGGCACCUCCUGCAGAGUCCUCCGAUGCCCUCGCCGUCGUCUGAGAUGGCCGGAGCCGCCCGGGAGCCUCGCCGGACCAGUCGGCCUCGCCCUGCCUCGGCGCACCGUCGGGAUGGAGAAGGAAGAAGAGAAGGGAGGAGAGAGAGAGAGGUGAGCAGGCCCCACCAGUCAGUCACACAGGAGCCGGCCCGCGUUGACCCCGCCUGCCAGCAUGGAUAAGUGACGGGCCCCGCCCCGUGGGACCCGCACGUCAGCGUCACGCGAGCCGACCCCGCCUCUGCUUAGUCACAAAACGUACUCAGCCGAAGGCGCUUUCAGUUUUUGCCUCCAGGGACUUGUUUGUUGAAGUUUUAUUCACAGAUUGGUCCCUGGUGUUCAACACCUCGUAACUCCGCAACCGUAACUCUGAUUGAGCCCCCUCCGAGAGAGAACCCUUUCCGGCGAAUCUUUCCGCGGCUUCACCGCACUUCUCCCCGGAGCCUUCUUCAUCCCCAGGCAAGCCACAACCACCAUUUGCAUGAUAGCCAUGCAGAAGCAUUGGUUUUCAACUUGAAUCUUUAAUAACUGCCUGUUCGUUUUGCUACCGCUGUCGGUAUUUCGGUUAUGCUUAUGGAUCGGUGUUUACGCUCAUGUUAUGUUUUCUUGCACUCUGUUAUUAUGUUCUUCAUGCUAGUAUUACUUUAAUAUUGGCAAUGUUUGGUAGUAGUACAUGUUGGUGAUGGUCUUCGGUGCAUGACUAUCGUCUGGUCCGAGUACCGCCGUUAUGCAUGUUUCUUUGCAUCCAGUUGAUUAAAUACUUGCAUGGUAGUUUUAUCGUUAUGUUAUUGCAUGGUAUUUAUUAUUGAUGCUUGAUACGUCUCCAACGUAUCUAUAAUUUAUGAAGUCUUCAUGCUAUUAUAUUAUCAACCUUGGAUGUUUUAUAUGCAUUUAUAUGCUAUUUUAUAUGAGUUUUGGGACUAACCUAUUAACCUAGAGCCCAGUGCCAGUUUCUGUU